CCGGAACCAGUACCAGCUAACCCAGGUGAUCUCUACGGACAGAGACAACACCCGCUCCACAGCGGACUUGCUUCCAAACCAGCCUCUCACCCCGACACUCAGUGUAUCUUCACUUGAUUUGCAAUUUGGCAACUAGUGAUUGUCUUGUCAUGUAUGUGUGUGCACACACACACACACACUUGAAUGUGAUAAAAAAACAAACAAAAAACCGAUCUCAGGAACAGGUGCCAGCACGGGCUACUGGAAAACAAAAAGACGAUCAGCGUCGUUGUAACACAAGGCGGACACACAGCCGCUACAUGUUUCGCAUUCACGCCUUCGCACGCACCUUCCGAUCUCGGGACAGCGCUGCUUCCAACCCUGCUCCCAGCCGCGUUUCCCCACCAGUCAUACCGACAAACGCCAGAGCCCGGACCAAGGCGGCCCGUCCGGCUGCCCAGCAGUCCAGCCACGGCGGAGCUGACCACGGCCCGAGCCCCGUCCCGCACCCCAAGGGCCGCCUCUCCCGUCAGUCCCCCCGCACGGAGCUUGGUAGGCAGAGAAAUCUGUGAACGUGCCCCCAAUACCGACCCAAGACGCCAAAAGCUCUGGCUCUGGGGCUGAGGCGGUGGACAGAGUUCAUUUCCAGGAGGAGUGAGACGGGCCGAGCAGGCGCCCGGCCAGGUGCCCCACCGGCACCGGAUGGAGGAUCACAGUGGGGCGUGCAGCCGGCUCACGGAGGCCGCUCCCUCGGCCGGAUAACGGCACCGAACCGGCCCUGCGGUGCCAGGCGCUGCGCCACACACUUGACGCGCAUUAUCUCACUUAAUCCAAACGGAGUUGUCCCCAUUCUCCUGCUGGAAGAAACCAAAGCCCACAGGUUCACUUGCCCAAGGGGUCGAAACCGCCGCUCAGCUCAGAAGGCCGAGCUCUUAAGCCACACGCAAGGCCCUGACCAGAGACCGCGAGCCAAGUUUUAUAUUUAAGUCCCAACGUGCUUGCGAAAAAUGAAAUUAAAAAAUCGGAACAAGGACAGUAGUCUCAUUCGUCAUAUGACCUGACUGUCAAGGAGACAGGGCUCAGAGCAGCCAGACGACGAGGGGACAGACCAUCUGGACCGGGCAGCACUCCGAGGCCAACCGCCUCCCCCUGGAUGGCGGAGGGGAGCCGGGGCCAAGGGGUCAGGGUGCCCUUCGGAGGGAUGUUUGCCGGCCUCCCCACCCCCUCGGCUCAACAAAGCCCGCCUCGGGCUCAACAAAAGGGAAAGAGGAGUGCUCAAAGCAGCCUUCCUCCUGCCAAAGCCUGACUCAUCGGCCGUGCUCCAGCUUGGCUCUCCGAGCAAAAGGCCGGCUCUGCUCGUGGAGCCAACCAGAGCCGGGGCUGGCCCGGAGGAGAGGGAAGCAGGGCAGGAGGCCAAAGGCAGGGACGCCCCAGACGCUCGGGCCGGCGAGCCAGGGCUCUGGCUCCUCAUAAAGGGCCCUUGUGCGUUAGGCCCGGGCCGCCAGGCCCUGUAGGCCUGGGGUCCGGGGGGCUGUGGGGCCGCUGGAGCACUGACUCGGCACCCAUGCUCCACACGAACUCUGACCUUGUCCCACGAGAGACCAGACAGCUCUGAGGAGACGGACCACCGCCUCCAAAAGCCUCUCUCCUUCCAUAAUCGCUGGAAAAGUCUCUGCUGACAACAUUUGCAGGAUUUCACAAGGCCCCACCUCCACCACCAAAAGCCCAACACAACACAGCGUGGCAGAAAUGCCAAAGCCGUGCCUUCAAGAACCAGGGCGAGAACUGGGACCUCACCAGCCAAGUGCCACCUACCAGAGUGUUCGCUUCACGGAACGCCCACGGAUGCGCAUAAACCCCAAUUCAGGCUACUUUGGGGGGACCUCCUUAGAACAACAACGGGGGUUUGCUCAGGAACAGGGCCAGGGGAAACGUAAGCCACCCACAGCCUGAGCGCCUCCUGGACAAAGGGGACAUUUGAAAGGUGUCAAUAAAGGGCUUCUCCAAGCAA